rnacentral:sRNA from 1 species
CAUGCCGUAGCGUUCUGACGGGGAGAAGGGACAAGCGGCGGCGCUACGAGUCCCUUCGCCCCGCUUGCGGGGAGAAGGUGCC